UCUCGCGUUGUUUUCAUUUGCAUCUCUCAAAUGACCAGUGAUGUUGAACAUUUUUUCAUGUAUUUAUUUGCUAUUUCUAUUGAAGCUAUAAGUUUACCAACAAGGGUUAGAGUUGCUGAGUGGCCUCCAGCCUCUUCUUUGUGCCAGUGAGGUCACCAGGGCCCAGAAGACUUAAGCAACAACUUUGUUACAACUAUUAAAAAAAAUAGGCAAGUAGUUCAGGACUGAUGAAAAUACUGGACUCUUUUCUGAAAAUGUGCUUUCAAUGUACAUGGCAUUGAGAUCCACCUAGGAAAGUAACUUCUAGAAUCCUACUUUCAUACAAAAGGCCCCAAACUUCUUCCAAUGAAUUUUCUUUCUUUUUUUUUGGCAGUACUAGGGAUUGAACUCAGGCCUUCCCACUGAGCUAUAUCCCUAACUCUUUUCAAAUUAAAUUUUUAAAAACUCUGAGACAGGGUCUUGCUCUCUUGACAGGGUCAAGCUGGGCUUGAACUUGCGAUCCUCCUGUCUCAACCUCCUCCCAGAGUGCUAGGGUUAUAGGCAUGCACCACCACUCCCCACUGAACAUCUACCUAAGAACUGAAGUACAGUCUGUCUGUUUCUGCCAAGGCUAGAAGGCAAAACCCAGGACAGCUUUUCAGAGGAAGAACUCCUUUCUGAUUCUCACAAACCAAAGGGAAAUUCAUUGUUAUUCACUGUGCAAAUCUGAACAAGAAUGUCUAACUUCUCUUCAUAAUCUAGAAACCUGAAGUGGGCCAUGGUGAUGUUAUGGCCCAGACAUUGUCCAGAGGUGGACCAGCCUGCAGGCCAGGAUGGGGGAAGCCUUCUGUCUAGGACUCUGUCCAAUUUGGAAGAAGAAUUAAAGAAAAAUAAAACCUGAUCAGAGAAAGCCUUUAAGGCCUGUGCAGCGCAAAGGAUGACCUUCAUGCAUCUAGCUGAUCCAUCUGAACUUCUAGAAGAGAUUGUGAUCACUCAGAAGGACUGAUGACUAUUUAGUCAGCCUCACUGUCGAAAAAAAGACAAUCACAGAAGUUCAGGAUAGUAGAGAGGAUGUGAUCAGAAGAUGACUAAUGCCAGGAUGUUCUCAUCAAAGGCCCAACUGCCUAACUGACAGCCCAGAAUGAAACUCGAGCAAGAAGGCAGAGAAAGGGGCGAUAAGGCAGAACGCAGGGUAUUUAAUCCAUCCAGGGGAAACACAAAACCUCCCAUGUCUUAAUGCAGAGAGAGGAGAGGAAAGCACAGUGACACUCUGCAAGGACAAGCUUUGGCAAAAGAAGGAACAGGAUGAAGGGGAGCAUGGUACGGGGAAGCAAGAGGGAGCCAACAAGUAGCCAAUUCACUUUGAGACUUCAGAUGGUGGUGGUGGGAGCCGCACAUGGCUGGGCACCAGGACUGCUGAUUUACAUGAAAACAAGCUUGUAUGAUGAAGGGGAAAGGCAGGCUCGCAGGCCACUGCUCCAGGGGCACAUUCAGGAACCGAUAUACAUUGAAACUUUUACUCAGAAGAGAAGCUUGAUAUAACGUACACAAAUAGAAGGUUCUGCUGGAGAACAGAAGGAUGCCAUGAAUGCAAGCAUAUGCUGUUUGUUACUGUGAACUAACACAUGACUCAGGAUAGUCAGUUUUUAAAAUAUCGCCAAAAACUCUGCUCCCAAAUGGGUCAUACUAUGCAGAUGGGGACAUGGUGACAAUACAGUCAUGCAUCAAGAAUAUAUUUUCACACGAUUAUAUUCUGGACCAAAGCAUAUCAGGCUACUUCCCAUGAGCAAGAAGCUUCCCUGGUUUUAAACAGGUUGUGAAAAUCAGCAUCAGCCCACGUGUAGGGUUUGCAAGAGACUGGACUUGUUAGAAGUCAUAAAGGACAGCACGUGGGGCCAAGCCCAAGCUGCAGGACUUGAACUGAACAUGCUGAGCCCUUUGGUCUCACAGAGGUCAUAUACAUCUAUAAAAUGCUACACUGUCAGUGGUCUCAUAUGACCAACAAUCCCUUAUCAGAGCGACGGUCACGUAUUAAUGGCGCCACCUGUGACGAAGAUGGGUGAAGGAGGCUACAGAGCUGGUUUGUACAUAAAACCUCUCCUGGCUUUCGUUUCAAUGACCUUUGUGUGUUGGAGAUCCCCUAUUAUAUUAGAGCAAACACAUGUUUAUUCUUUUUGGUCACUACACAGGGAGCGGAAAGCAAGGGAAUGGCUGAUGUGGGGAGAGAGUUGAACUGGCAAGAGUGUGUGAGGUGCACAAGAACUCUGCAGGCUGAAGAGAAUGCACACAGCCCAUGAUUUUGUAAACAACUUGGAAAGUAUACAAAAUACACUGAGAACGCGCUCUCGUGGGAAAGAAUUUACCCCACCAGGGUGACAAAGCUGCAAACAGUUUGGUUUUGGCUUGUGUGUUUUUUGUUCUAACAUGCCAAGCUCCUCCGCUGCUCUCAGAAAGUAGACAGACCCAAGUUUAGGAAAAUGGAUAUUCCUAUAAAUACAAGACAGACAGGAAGGUUGCAGAUUCUGAUGUCAAAGCCCGGGGAACUGCACAUAACACCCAGGAUAGCAAUCUCUUUCAAGAUAAUUCAUGCUUCUCUGCCCACCGCUUACAGUCGGGAGGCCCAGCUGAUCUCCCGCAGGGAUCCCUUUCUUGGCUGGGAACUGGACCACCUUCCUCCCCAGAGGCAGCUCUAUCAUCAUCCUCAUCAUCUUCACUACUCCCUCACCCAGGGUCACACUGGCCAGAGGCAGGGCCAAGAUGAAAAGGCUGGCACCACACCUUGCCCUGAAGGAUCCUGCCCUCCACGUGGGCACAGAACAGACCCUAUUGCCCACGCCACUGGAAGAGUCCAAAGAUCCCAGCGCUGAUACCAGGGGGCUCACCACAUGGACAUUGCAUCAGAUUCACACUCUGUAGCCUGUCUCACAGAACCAGUGUCAAAUUAGAAAUGACAUCUCUCUGGUCUAACUCUCUUUUCAAGAUAGAACUAUUGUUAAAUUACCCCCAGAGAAGACGAGAAUUUGCUUUCUUUUAUUUCCUGUAUUUAUAUGUUAUGGUCCUGAAAAGUACAUGUUAUAGUAAAUACAUAUAUUUUUUCAGUUCUGGAGAUUAAACCCAGGGUCUUUACAUGGAGUUACAUCCCCAGCCUAUUUUUUCUUUUGAGACAGGGUCUCAAUAAGUUGCCUAUGCUCCACUCAAACUUGUGAUCCUCCUGCCUCAGCCUUCCAGAGUGCUGUGAUCAAAGGUAUACACCACCAAACCCGGGAUUUCCAGCUUUCUUUCUGUCCUUUGCAUUUAGCUCUCAUGGUCUCUAGGACCUCUUGAUCUGUAACUAUUUGUUGGCCUUUGUCUUUCUUGAUCUUAUGUUUUCGAGGAUUUCCAACCAGUGAUUUUGUCACAGAAUAUCCACAAAUUUAGGUCUGCCUGAUGUGACUCGGGUUAUGGCAAUGAGAUCCAGGUUACGGUGACGCGAUCCAUCUUUGGGACCUCGGCACACAACAUACAACGUGGGCCAUGUGCUCCGCACAGCACCGAUGCCAGUUUGUCUCAAGACGACCAUGCUAACUGCAAUUGCUUGGUCAAGAUGAUGUGAUGUGUGCAGGUUUCUCCACUUGUGAGGAGAAUCUUUGAAACUAUAUAAAUAUCCUCUUCCUCCUAAGUUUGUCACCCCCAUAGAUACACUGCUUCUGUAAAUCCAUCCUUCUUCCCACUAUUGUAAGGAAGAAUCUUCCUUCUGCUUCAUUCAUUUCCAUCAGUUUAGAUUUGUGGACUCUAUAUUCAAUCCUCCUGCAUUCAAAUUAUAAUGGGGGAAAAAACCACCACAGUGGCUUUGAAAUAGAAAAAAAAGUGUCAAGAAAGCAUUGAAAUUUUACAUAAAUGUCUCAUAAAACUAGUCUAGAAUGUGACUGAUGGAUGUGCUCACAUGUCUGCCGUCACAGCUAAACACUUGCUCUUCCACAGAACAUGGGAUUCAUCUCAGGUGUGAAAUGCCCUGUGCCAUAGCAGGUCUUCAGGUGAUCAUGGCCUGCCUUGGAACUUGUGAUCUUCCCAACAGCCUUGCUGGCGAGACCACCCUAUCUACAGAAGAGGAAAACUGCUUGGAGAGCUAAGAACCUGCUCAGGCUCUGGAGCCAGGCAGCCCGGAGCGCACCAUGUGGAUUCUAAGCCCUGUGCUCUUUGCACACACAGCCCUGUCCUCCCAAACAGCUGUGAUGGAACAGUCUGCAGAUCCAUGGAGACCUUUGCUCCCACACAUUUCCUAUGCCAGAUAACUAUUCUAUCGUAAUGAGCUUCUCCAGUGAGUGUAGGAUCUAAAGCUCUGGAGAUUAUUAAUUUGUAUGUGUGCUUUCUCACUCUAACUUGUGGCCCUGCCCUUUCUACGGGGCAAUGUCUGUCAGCCCCUCCCAGAGGCAAUUUUCCACCAGGACACAACUUAUGUGUUUCUGUGCAGGUCUCUUGAGAUUCAAGCAGAAUAAACAUAAUCUUUAUUCCUGGUGACACAUUCUUGAGGCACUGAGGAGAGCGCAGAAAGAAGAGGGGCUACAGCUGACCAGUGGGGUGGGAGAGAGCACUGCCCUCACCCUUCCUGUGUAGCGUGCAUGGUGGCUAGGUGGCCAGGUGCAUCCUACACCUGCCCUGUGGCCCACACUGCAUCACGUAUCCUUAGUGUGAUAAAAGGUGAGCUUUCCUCCCCUUCUCACGUCACACACAGCUUACUUAUUCACAACUACAGCUCUUUGAGGUUUAAUCAAUUCAUAACUAUACUAUGACUGUGACUAUAAACAUUAUAACCUAGUUUUACUACUGUGAUAGCUUUUCCAUUCAAAGAAAUGAGAUCAGGGGCUGGGGAUUUAGCUCAGUGGU